UAAAAACGAGCUUGUACAACGAGAAGAUAGAAACGUUGAUAGGUUAUUUCGAGAUAAGUUUUACAGUUUGAUAUUAGGGAAGGUUUCAAUUACGAUUCGAGUAAAUCCGAAAUAGUCGAGAUCAAAGUUAUUAUUUCCCGCUGUAACACAUAUCUUUAAAUUCGAUCAGUAAUUGGUCGAUGAAACUAAGAAACUUGUGAUUUCAUUCUAACUGGUGGUUUUAUCGGAAGUUAAAAAAUCCUUUUAAAACUUUAACGAUAAUAGUUCGAUAAUACGUGGAAAUAACGUGAUUGAUAUCCUUAUCUUAUCGCGCUUAAUACUAUAUAUCAAUAAUAAGAAAAUUUUUUGCGAGUUUUUAACCUAUCAUGUUCAUAUUUUACAUGUUCGCAAAUUUACUUUUGAAUUCAUUGGUUUCCGGGAUUUUAUAACUUCCGUUGACAGCCAUUUUAUAAGACGCUUCUCGUGCUCGCGUAUGUUUGCUUCUAUUUUCAGUUUGACUCUUUUGUAACCUCGGAACUUAAGGUAGAUUAUCUAGGACUUCCUUUGUUAAUCGUUAUUUCACGUAAAUAACAAGGAUGAUCAAAGUUGAGGAAUGUUGAUUCAAAGUACUACUUGUAAUUAAGCUUUCUUUGUUUUAUACGAUGGUGUAUGAUUAUAUUCGUUAAGCGAUAUUUUUCAUAUCAUGUUCAAUAUUCUGUUAAACAACAGAGCACAAAUUCCAAAUGAUGAUGAAAGAGACAGAAGCAGAGAACGUGAUCGGAAUCGUCGAUCGGAUAGACAAAAUCGUAUCAAUUCGACUAGCCGCGAUCGGAGUAGAGAGAGAAACGAUCGUGGCGGCAGAAAAGCUUCAGAUAGAAGAAUUUAUGUAUCAAAUAUACCGUAUGACUUUCGAUGGCAAGACUUGAAAGAUUUAUUUAGAACGGAAGUAGGCAAGGUUGCACAUGUUGAACUAUUUACGGAUGAAAAUGAUAAGCCUCGUGGUUGCGGUAUCGUAGAAUUUGAAGAUGCAGAAUCAGUAAAGAUUGCUGUUGAAAAAAUGCACCGUUAUGAUACAAAAGGAAGGAAAUUAGUCGUGAAAGAGGACUUUGAUGUUGAGCGUGAUAAAUAUGGCCGAUUAGCAACAGCUCGUAAUAAUGAUAGACCAAGAGACGAUAGGUUUAGAGAUCCCCCUCGUCAGCAAGGAGGUGGUAGACAGAACAUGCCUGCACCUAGCGGUGGUGGCGGUGGUGGAGGUGGAGGUGUUGGCGGCGGCGGUGGUGGUGGAGGUGGAGGAGGCGGUGGUGAUAAUAAGUUUGGUAAUACGUAUGGUCUCAGUACACAGUUCUUAGAAUCUUUAGGCAUCAAUGGACCUUUGGUUACAAGAGUUUUUGUAGCAAAUUUGGAUUAUAAAGUGGACGAAAAGAAAUUGUUAGAAGUUUUUAAAUUAGCUGGAAAAGUUUUACAUGUUGAAUUAGGCAAAGAUAAAGAUGGAAAGUCUCGUGGUUUUGGAGUUGUGGAAUAUGAUCAUCCAGUGGAAUCUGUACAAGCCAUUUCAAUGUUACAUAAUCAACAACUUUAUGACAGACGAAUGACAGUAAGGCUCGAUAGAGCAAACGAACCAGAUAUGCCACCAAAAUUACCGGAAGGCUUGAAGGGCAUUGGAAUGGGAUUAGGAGCAGGAGGAAACAGAUUAAUGGAUGUAGCUCGAAACAUUCCUAGCGUACAAGCCAACAAUCCACCGGUUGUAAAUCCUAUCUCUGCUCCUGUGUUGGCUGCCGGUGCUUUUGGCGCUGGAUUAAAUAAUGUUGUACCUGCACAAUUAGCAUCUGCAUUGACAAAUUCAAAUGCAGCAGCACUUCAAGCGAGUCUUGCUGGUGGUUUAGGCGCGAACCUAACUACAAGCUCUUUACUGAAUUCGUCUUUAACAAACGAACUGGCUUCCAAUUUGAAUAGCUUUGGUGGUGGGGUUGGGGGUUUGUCAGGAUUACAAGCAUCUUUAGCUGGUGGACAAGGAAAUAAUUCUUUUGCACCAAGAGGUUUAUCUAAAUUAGAUAACGACAUAGGAUUUGGCGGUAACAAUGCUUUUGGAAGUUCAUCGUUUGGUGGUGGCAGAGAUUUUGAUGGGGGCUUCAACAGAGGGGAUGGGGAUCGCGUGUCUGGCGGAGGUGGUGCAUUCUCCGGGAAUCAAGGACAAGGUGGAGGUGGUAACAGACAAAAUGCCAAUGGUUCUCGACCGAUGUCAGAUACCAUCCUUAUAGGAAAUUUACCUCCUAAUACUACGUGGCAAAUGUUACGUGAUAAAUUUCAAGAUGUUGGCGAGGUGAAGUUUGCAGAAAUGAGAGGUACAGAUAUGGGAAUGGUACGAUUCGUCUCUGAGUGGGAUGCGGAGCGAGCAGUGUCGAUGAUGAAUCGGUCACGUAUCGAUGGCAGGACAAUCGACGUACGCUUGUAUUAACGAAAGAACUACUACAUCGAUCAAAGCUAGAGGAGACUGGGGUUUGCUAUGUCGUCUGCAGCAUUGUUCCGCUCCCGAUGACAAUACUUGAAAUUCAUCGUAGUUGUGUGGCAGAACGUAGGACAGUGAGUGAGAAGUAAUCUGUCGUUGGAAGAACAACAGUCGUGUUGUAUACCUGUUCAACGUUGAAACGCUCGUAUUGACGGCUAAUGGUCAGCCUUCUUUGACGUAACCGUCUUGUUCUAAAUUCUACACCGUCAGUUAUCGUUCCUUUUUACAGUCGAAAACGUUCACUUCUAAAUCAGCUUUCUUCGAGUGAUCGAUACAUAGUUUAGUUUGUUAGGUUUAGGUUCGUAAUGUUCUUACAUAGUCCAUAGGUUUUUUUCAGUAUAUAGGCUAUACUAUUUACAGUAAUCAGUAAAAAGUAGCUUGUAAGUUUAUUUCAUAGUUGUCACACGAUGAGAGUAAGAGAGAGAGAGAGAGAGAGAGAGAGAAAGAGAGAGAGAGAGAAAGAAAGAGAGAAAGAGAGACGACUCAAUCGGUUUUCUGACAUUCCGGUCUAAAGUGACGCUCUGGUCGUUCGCAAACAGGUCAACCAAACAGGGACAAGAUAAUUUUUUUGUCGAAUAUUAAUACUUAAAUCUGCACGGCUGUCACGAAUGUUAAGAGUUAAAUUUUCGAUCAGAUGAUAAUCCAUCUAUAUUAGAUACUCGUCCAACGACUCAAUUCUUAUACGGAUAGUAAAUAUCUGUCGUUUUAUUCUAAUGUCAGUUUCUCUCAUAUACAUCGGUUCUUAUGCCUAAUAUGUAACUAGAUGUAUCGUGGCUCGACAGGGAACAAUUCUCCGCUCCGUUCACCUUUGAAAUUUAUUUUUUUUUGUUAUCCAGUGUUAUCCACGCUGCAUACUACAUCGUUGUAAUUAUUUUGGAGAUUUAAAGAGCAUAAACCUUUUUAUUUCGCUUUAGGAAGGUCCCUUUCGGUUCAAUCGCUCUGAGACUUCAGCGAACGAACAUUGGAUGACUUUAUGCCCUAAAUUUGCUAGAAUUGUCUUACGUAUUGUGCACAAUUAUAUGUUUACCAAAAAAUAUAAAACACGUUUAUAUAAUAUAUAUAUAUAUAUAUACAUAUAUAUAUAUGCGUAUGUAUAUAUAUAUAUAUAAUAUAUAUUAUAUAUAUGUGUGUAUAACGUGAAACGAUUUCUGAUGUUUCGUGCUUUUUAUAUCAAUAAAGAAGAUAUAUAUAUAUAUAUACACAUAUAUAUACAUACAUAUAAAUACGUAUAUAUAUAUAUAUAUGUAUAUAUAUAUGUAUACAUGUAUGUAUGUAUGUAUAUUAUUAGAACACUAUUUUACGAUAAUAAUAAUAAUAAUAAUAAUAAUCUCGCGCGAAUCUAUUCUUUGGUAAACAUAUUUCUUCUCGCCAUGUAGAUUUCGAGGAACAUUCUCUGCGCAUUGUGUAACACUCUUGUAUAACCACAACCUCAUUAAUAGUGAUUGAAUAAAGUCCACAUCCAUUUUGACAACAAAAAAGAAAAAAAAAAAAAGAAAAAAAUAUGAGAAAAAAGAAAAGUAAACAAUAAUAUGCUGUGGUCGUUGUGUGUUUUAUUUUUUGUAUUGUUGCGUGUCUCUUACCAUUUUAAGCAGGUUGUGCUUUGUACCGAGGAAAAGUUUCCAUCUAUUUUCACGAAAGAGCUAUUCGAGGGAUGUCGGAUGAAUUUGCGGUGAAAAGCUUUGUGAUAACAGACGAGUUUCGACGAUUACGUUUGUAACGAAAUUCUACGAUAUGUGUGUUUAAUAUAUUUCUCCAUCGAGACGUUCGUUCCGGAGCUUUCCAUAAACUCGGAUCUUUCAUGUGAUGCACUUCGUAAUCUGCAAAAUUGGAAACUCUUUUAUAAUACGGCAGAUAAUUUUAUUACUUGGAUUAAAAAAAACUAGGUAAGUUUGUCUGUAGUUUGACGAACAUUCAUUUCAUAUGUCUCUGUUAUUCUUUUAGGAAACACUUCAUCCAGGUGGCAUGUUUUUGUCGAAUGGUAAGUGGUAUAUGUGUGUGUAUAUAUAUAUAUAUAUAUAGACACACACACACAACACAUACAUACAGACACAUAUACAACACAUCUGCCCUUAAUUUACGUGAAGUGUUCAUUCCAUGUAGUUGUUUUUUUUAUACGGAUAAAAAUCGCGAAAAUUGAGUUUGCCAGUAUGAAAAAAAGAAAAAAAGGAAAUAUUAUAGAGAGAAAAAUUCAGUAUAAGUAAUACAAAUAUUUAUUCAGCAUUUUUUCAUACAUUUUUACAUAUAGAUUUGUAAAAAGAAAAAAGAGUUAUACAAGAUAUAUAUAAUCAUGUAAAAAUUAUAAGAAUUUCAGAAAAACGAAGAAAUAAAUUUUAUUCGUUAUCAUUAUUCGAAAAUAUAAAUCGUAUUCGUUAUCGUCACUUAUCACGUAUUUCGAAAAUAAUCAACUUCUUUUUUUUUUUGUCUCAAAGUCCAAGUACUUGUUACAGAAAUUUCGUCUAAAAGAAAAUAUUACAGAGAACAAAAAAUCCGCACAGAUGAUAAAAGUAUUUAUUCUUCGUACGCGUAUAUACGUAGGUUUAUAAAGAAAAAAAGAAAAAAAAAUCUAAGGAAGAUAUAUAAUUAUAUAAAAAAUUAUAAAAAUUCUACAAAAACGAAAAUUAAAUUUUAUUCACUUUUUUUGUGUAAGUAGUCAACUUGUUCUUUUUUUUUUGUAAUUGGCUUUAAAACUAAAGCAUGCACUUAUUAUAGAAAUCUCGUUUUUAAUGUGUCUUAGAUAUUGUUGAUAACGGAGUGUAAUUUACUAAAGAUUAUAUUUAUUUUCUGAUCGUAUCGAAUUAGAUCGCUUUAAACAAAGAUAAACCAUAAAAGUACCGUGUAAACGAUGAUAUAAUUUAUCGCGUAAAUCAAGAGACGGGUAGCAUAUAUAUAUAUAUAUAUAUAUAUAUAUAUAUAUAUAUAUAUAUAUAUAUAUAUGUAUCGGUAGUAUAUGUGUAAGGUAUUAGAAUUGAAGAAAUAAACAUAUAAAUAUUUCGAUUAUAUAAUAUAUAUAUUUUUUCUUUUUUUAUCACACCUGUAUUUCCACAGUCUUUACAUUAUAAAACGGUUCGAGUCUUCUCGAUAAAUAUGUAAGAUAAGAAUUAUAUUUUUUCACAGAGGAUCGAGACAACGUUCCGCAUAAAAGGUAAAUAUGUGAGAAUGUGAUUCUACUAGCUAAAACAACUCGUUCAAACGGAAAAUGCAUAAAAAGUAUAUAAAAAAACUAUAUUCCUCAAAAAAAAGAAAACAAAAAAAAGAAAAAAAAGUCAAAUAAAUAAGUGUAAAUGUUUCGUUAGUGGAUUUCUCACGAUCACAUACAUACUAAAUUGCAUUAGGUGCAUCCAUCGUUCGUCGAUUAAAAAGAAGCACCUCUUCUAAACAACGUCUCGCAUCUUGCCGUAUCUAUGUAUGUAUGUAUAUAUGUAUAUAUGUUUAUAGUUUUAAUCUAUCGUGUAAGUUUUAUCACAUUUGAAAUAAAGGUAUCCUCAAUGGCGCAAAAGCAUAAGGCUCCAUGUAAAUAGUUACAGACUUGGAUUAUACGCGCGAUAUCAUCGUUUUUUUUUUUUUCUUAUUUUCUCCAACGAAAAAAUAUUAAUGAAAGACAUGUCGUCAUUUCGAUAUAUUAGAUAGGUUGUUAAAAAAUAAGAGCGACACAAUCAACGAACGAACGUAUCGUUUAACAUAGUCCUCUUAUCUCAUUAUUGCGAAAUAGUUAUCUUUUUUUUUUCUUUUUUACAAAUUAUCCGAAAAAUUUUUUGUGCGUGAUCAACGACGUGACUCUAUUUCUUUUUUUUUUCUUCCUUUUUUUUUCUAAUCAAUAUUAUCUCCCGCCAAAUGUGUUUAACAUGGAAAAAUGCGUGUAUUAGAAAUUUUCUCAUCCUGCAUAUAUUUAUUUUUCGUUUUAUACAUUACUGAAGGUAAAAAUUCGUUUUUCUUUUUCUAAGAGUACACAAGUUUAAUUUAAUAUUAUUACGUUUACCACGUUAUCGCUAAAAUAUUCAUAUAUCAACGCGGUGUUUUUCUAAAAGUUAUGGCUUUUUUUUUUAAUCGCGGGGUCUUAUGUAUAAGGGGAGAAGGGUGAAAAGGCCUUUUGCCAAGUUUAUCGCGUAGCGAAAAUCACAAUAAUCGAAUAUCUCUUAAUCAAUGAUCAUAACGAUCUUUAACGACUUUCAUGUUAUUCGAUAUUUAAAAGUUCCGUUUAUAUAGUCAAUUAUAUAUCGAUACCAAAGAGAUCUUUCAACUUGGGCAAAGAUGUUUACAAAUUUGUUUUUAAGCUCGUAUCAUUUUUAUGAAGCACGACGAUCGAUUCUUGGCAAAAAUAUUCAUGGAUGGCAACACUAAAGUCGACAAGCGUAAUACUUUAAUCGAACACAUUAUCUUCGAAUCUAUGAAUUAUUUGUCGCUGAUCUCCAACCAUUAAUUCGAAGAAUUUACGAACGUUCUUUAGAUAAAAUAAAAUAAAAUAAAAUAAAAUAGAAUAGAAUAGAAAAGAAAAGGAAAAAAAAAGAAAGAAAUCAGAGUUACUACACAAACGUUGCGAGUUUACGUUUAUCAUCAUGCUGCACACUUCAUACAUUCGAUCAUAUGACCAUGCUUGUGGUCACGUCAUCCUUUUUAUUUUUCUUUCUUUUACAGUUUUCACUUUUUUUCUCUGUCGGCACGUAGUGCGUCAUAAAUCUUCGGUAUUUGAAAAAUACUUCGCGAGAGUUGUUAAAAUACAAUUAUUCCUGUUAUCAUCAAUCAUGCAUUCGAUAUCUCUACUUUACGACUCAAUCAACGUUCGCUUAAUUCGGGUCAUUAAGAGUAUCGGAAAAGAGAAGGAAAGAAAAGAAAAAGGAAAAAAGAAGGAAGGGAGGGAGGGAAGAA